AUUAAGUAAAUUUAUGUUCUCUUAUGAAAUAAAUUGUUUUAAUUUUGGUGGGUAUCGUCUUGUCUAACAUAACGCAUCACUGCUAAUCCGCACCUGUAUUUGUAUUUAUAGUCGUAUCAGUUCAAAUACUAGUCUGACAAGUUUUAAUCCCACGGGAUUUUCAUGGGCAAAUUUAGUGCAGUGACAAGUACAUUCUUUAUCGGAAAUCCGUAGAGGACAGAUCGUUUACAAAAAUUUAAAGAAGAUUACGACGGAAAACUGCAGCGCUACUGUUUUGAGAAUUCACAAUUGAGAUGAGUAUACAUUAUAUAUUUUCUUUAGAUGUCUGCGCUUAUAACUUUGAUUGCUGAACUUUCUGUUUAUACGGCAUUUGAAUAUGUCCUCUGGAAAGUAAUGGAGACACGUGUUCAUCGUACAAUCAGCAAGUUAUUGGCUAUUUGGUUUUAUUCAAUCACUGACUGAAUCAGUCUGAAGUGAAUUUUAGUUAUAAAAAAAAAUAAAUAAAAAAAAAAUAAAUAAAUAAAAUUAACAGACACAGUGAGCUGACAAACACUCACAGGUAAAACAUGGGUGUGGUCGAGCGUUCUUUUUGUUUGCAUGUACAUACGCAAAAAUGCAGUACGUUAGUUCCUGUACGUUAUUCUCGGUCAUUAUUAUUUAUGGACUUUAAUCAUAUGUACAAUAUGCAUGUACUGGUUUCACCCGAGGUGUAUUGAGGUUUAUGCAUUUCUAACGUACAUUGUUGCGGAAAUAUUUUGUAACAUGAUUUAGUAUCGCUAGGAUUAAUCAAAGAAUUUUGCUUUGUAGCCUAAUAUAAUUAAAAAAAAAAUCACAAACUUUUAAAUCAUUAAAUCAAAUAGAAAUAUACAUUUGGUUGUUUCUUACCAAUUGUCAAAAUUAUACGUUAAAUAUCUUGCUUUAAAUGAUAAAAAACAUGCUGCAUAGUCUAGUUACAGCUUAACAGAUCCGAUGAGAAAGGAGCGACAUACAAUUAAUUGGUUCCAUGCCGUUUUCAACAGUAUUUCAGUCAGAUGGUUAAAGUGUUCGUAGAGACUGCACAUGGGAAAAUUGACGCAGUUCUAGCCUAUACGAUUUGAUGCGGAUUAUCCAUUACGUCAGCAACUGUAACACCAGCAUUAACUCGGCCAAUCUCUGGUAUAAGGGACUGCAGAAAACUAAUGUCGUCAACCGGCUAUUCUCCUAAUGUCUUUAAACAGUUUAGCUAUAGGAGCGGCGUGGCAUGGUCGGGAUCGGCAGCUAUUGGGGCACCUUGUGUUGAAAGGGUCACAAUGGUGAAUCAUACUGCUGAACCCUGCCACAAAAUGUACUGCUGCACCAAACAUGUCACGCCGCUUCUGUAAUCUAUGGUAUAUUAGAGAAUAAACUCUUUACAGUGUGUGUGUAUAAACUCAAUUUUGCUAGUAUGCUUCUGUUGGUACAUUUAAUCAUCAUGGAACAAUACGGUUGAAUGAAACCGGCUUGAUUUUAACUGCAUGUAUUCAUUUAUAAACAUUCCGAAUGUUACUAUCUUUUUCUUUUGGUACUUUGUUUGUUGUUUUUUGUUAAAUUUGGUUUGAAUUUAAGCACGAAGAUAACAUGAAUUAGUGCGGGCGAUAGCAUGCAGGUUCGCCAAAUUCUGGCAUUGUAUUUGCAGAAAGAUGGUCUUAAUGUCAUUUAUUCUGUAAAAAAACAAACAAACAUAAUUGAAAUAUUUUUGUAGGACAUCGUUUUGUACAUCAAUUUAUAAUUCGAUGACAGCUCAUGAACAUUACCCAGUUUUUCGUGUUGUUUUUGUUCUGUUUGGCACAUUUAUUUUAUCUACUAGAAACAUUGAUGAUAGUAAAUACUCGGAAAGCAGGGGGUGGAGAGAGCCUUUUCGCUGGUCAGAGCCUCGGAUUCUCCCUACCUCCCCCCUCUUAUAUAAAAAUAUCAUAAAAAAUAGAAAAGAGUUAGGGUUGGGGCAGCCGGCUCGCAGCAUACGAUUAACCUGUCUUUCUGGGUAGUUUUUAGAUGAAAUUAAAACAAAAAAUAAUAAUUAUAAUAAUAAUAAUGCGUAAAGAUUAAGAUAACAUGACAAGUAUUUGUCAUAUUACAUAUGAAUUGUCCAUUCUGUAUUCUGUCUUACUGCAUAUGUUCAUAAAUAGUCCGGUAUAUUUUAUGUUUCUUUCGGCAUAUUGAUUGCUUAAGUACAUGCAUAUUUGGAAAGAAUUAUGAUAUUUCUGUCUAUAUAUAUUUCGAAGGCGUUCUAUUGGUGCAUUGUGUUAUUGGGAUAUUGAUUGUUAUAUGAACAGUAGUUAACCACCACCUUUGAAACCAGUUUAAGUUGUUUGUUUGGUAUUAGUUAUAUAGUAAAGGAAAGAAAUAAGGCGUGUAUGCGUAUAUAAACUUGAUUUUAUUAGUAAACAUACAUUAUUUGCAUUGAUCUGAUUUCAUCAAUUUAGAAUUUUUAUUGUCGUGACUUAAAUGGCGCUUACAAA